GUGAUCACUUCGGCAGCAUAUGUAUUAAAAGUGGAACAAUACAGAGAUUUGCACGGCCCCUGCACAAAUAUGACACACAAAUUUGUGAAACAUUCCCUAUUUUU
rnacentral:snRNA from 1 species